GGUGACGUCACCACGAGCGCGAGAAGUCGAACUGAGGAGCAGAAAGCGUUGUUAGUGUUAGUUCUGGCCCGUUUGGACCCAAACUAAAGUGUAUCAGUAUGAAGCAGGCGGUGACGGCGCACUGAUUCACUCUCGGAGCUCGGUUCACUAAUGACCGAAUCACCGUGGAACCGACCAAAGAUAACUCACACCCGCACGGAGAAGAAGAACAAGAGGAGGAGAAGAUGAGCUGGAGUGGGGCAAAGAGAACUGCAUUCAGAUCAAACGGAUACAAGAGAAGUGGCCGAGUUGUUUGAGGAUUUAAAGAAUUGAGUGUCACAAUUCAACAUGCACAUCAGCGAAACUUUUCCCUCUGACUACACCAGCACCCACGCACAGAAAUUCAUAGUGCAGGUGGCGAUUGCAGGCGCAUUUUAUCCGAACUGCUUCCUCCAGGGAACUGUGGACGAGGAGCUCGCCUCCAAGGAACUCUAUGGAAACGACCCCAGGACCACCAUAGUGUGUGUAAUCUCCCUCCAUUUGCAUUCCUCUACUAUAAACAGCUCCAGUCUCUCUUCAGACACUGUGGUUAAAUCAAAUCCAUCUCCUUUGACAGCUCCAGGGCCUAUGUAGAGUUCUACCGCUCGUCAAUGAGAGGUUCUGGCGUUCUCCCAGAGGUCUCUCUGUCUCUCCUCCUCACGCAGCAGAGACUUCCUCUCCAUCUCAACGUUUAACCCGCUGAAGAGGUGGAGACUUGGGCAGGGGGGUAGUGUAUCUCACACCUCAGAUAUACACGGGUGAAUGUGGAUUUUCAGAAUCAGUCAGUGAGCCCUGUCGGGGUUCUGAGCAGCUCCAUUGAGUUGGAGAAUCUUCCGUCUAACCCUGUCUUUAUCGUCAAUAUCACCGAGGUGUCUGUUCCGCCUCUUUCACUUUCAGUGCACAAAUAAAAAAGAAGCAGUGGCUCCUGUGUGUGUGUGUGUGUGUGUGUGUGUGUGUGUGCACACUAACAGGAGGUCCAGGUGCAGCCUUUGGAUAUUGAUGAAGAUUUACUGCCCCUGCAAGACCUUCCUCGACUGCGUAGUCUGGAGCAAAGGAUACAACAGAGCCCAGAUUACAAGCAAAAUCUGGUAAACUGUUUGGCGCUUAUUGACGGGGUGUAUGUGCGUGACUGCACCUGGCGCAUAUUGAAGAGGGUGAUUGCUAACUCCCUGGCAAAGAAUCUCAAUUGGAGGGGAGUCGAUGGAAAGACUUCACUGUCCGCUCUCCAACUCGGAGA